rnacentral:lncRNA from 1 species
GAGAGAUGGCUCAAAGGUUAAGAGCACUGACUGCUCUUCCAGAGGUCCUGAGUUCAAUUCCCAGCACCCACAUGGUGGCUCACAACCAUCUAUAAUGAGAUCUGGUGCCCUCUUCUGGUGUGCAGAUAUACAUGGAAGCAGAAUGUUGUAUACAUAAUAAAUAAAUAAAAUCUCUAAAAAAAAAAAAAAGAAUUGUAAAGUGGGGCUGGAUUGAUGGCUCAGUGGUUAAGAGCACUGGCUGCUUUUCCAGAGAUCCUGAGUUCAAUUCCCAGCACCCACAUGGUGGCUCACAACCAUCUGUAAUGAGAUCUAGUGCCCUCCUCUGGCCUGCAGGUGUACAUGCAGAGCAUUGUAUACAUAAUAAAUAAAUCUUUAAAAAAAAAGAAUUGUAAAGUAAGAAUUACAUUUACAAUAUCCA